GUUACUGUACGCUCGCGUAAUGUGCGCGUCCAUUGCGUCUUAUGACGUCAUCCCCAAAGUAGGUCAAAUCAGCGCGAACCGAGGAAAAAUGUAAACAAAAGUUGUCACAUGUUUGUCAACAUACCCAAUCAAAAAUGACUAAACCAGACGUUAACCAAAAACAUAAUCCUGAAAUGCAUAUUCAUGUUUCCAUUUAUAUAGUAACAAUCAUUACCAAUCGCACCUAUUUUUUUAAUAGUACCUCUUUGAUUAGAUACCUUAUUUUGCAUAAAAAUUGUUGAAUAAUAUUUAAAUUUUUGAACCUUCCAAAAAUAUGUGUUUUAAAAAAAAAACAUAAUUUUUACCACUUUGAGCUUUUGCAUAGUGGGGAACGAGGACCUAAACUUGUCGUCGAUUUCAAUUUUUAUCAUCCUACCUUUUUUUGAACAACUGGACUUCUCCUUGAUUUGGUGCUACUUUUAGGUAAAUAUUAAACAUUUUUGGUUGGAAAAUUGCCUUCGCCUGAUCAUGACGUCACCAUUCAAGCAUUGCAGUCGAUACUGAGUAGAGGUCCAAGUGCCAAGACAUCUGCUACAGUAAAGCCUUGACGGGAUUAGAGCUACAGGACUUGAGCAAGGAUCUCCAAUGGAAAUGCAUGUACGGUACAGAUCUCUUGAAAUGUUGUUGAGCUGGCAGUGAACCGAUUCACCUCCUUGCUCACCCAUCAUCCCAAGGCUUGCUCCCCAGUCUCUGAACCAGGGGAUGACAUGAAACUGCAACAGAUGCUGUUUGGGGGUCACACUCUCUGUGGGGAAGUUCUGACGGUAGAACGACAUGUACUCUUUGAUGUCUCUGUCUGUUGCUGACCUAUAUGAUCAUGAUUUCUUGGACUCUUACCCAGCUUGUCGAUGACUGAGUCGUCCAGGAAUGUACCGGUGUUGAUACCUCGGUGGCAUGCCCCAAACAGCUUCAGCAACGUGUUGUAUUUGGUGGCUAUCUGUUCUGCCUCCUGGAUGAGGUCCUGGUCGUUGGGGCAGAGUGACUGUACCGUCUUUGCUAUUGUAGCAGUGAUAACAUCAGUGUUCUCGGGCUGUUGGAGCAAGCCAUUUCCAGGAUGAGGGUGGGUGGUUCAGCUUCCGGGUAAAGUAGUGCAACCAUCAUGUGCUGUUCCAUGAGGUCGUGAACUUCUUCCUCAGCUAGCUUCACUCUGGUCUGGAGAUUCAGCUUCUUCAGCUGCUGUUUGAAGGCCUCCUUUGCUUCUAGUUGGUCUGUAGGAGUUCUUGCCAAGGAGUGGCCAAUCUUUAGGUCCAGGGUGUGACAUGCUUGGCAGAGUGAAUUGAAGUGCUUCAGGAAGACCCCUAGGGAGAUGUGGAGCCCAGGAGGACAGACCUGAUAAAUAGGAGAAAAGGGCUUAUAAUAUCAGAGAAUUAGAAAUCACACCUCCAUGACAUGGACUCCAAGUCAGCAAUCUGACAUCUGAUAGUCUCCAGAGAGACAUCGAGGUUGAAGGUAGAGUCGGAGCCAGGGAACAACAUGAUGACUCGGGUGUUGUGGAGGCUAUUGGGUCUGUUAACGUUGGCCACCUGUAUCAUCAUUUUGAAUGUUCCUCCCCCUUUGUCUCCUCCCACUUUCAGCCAGAUUUCGCCUUCAGGGAUGUGGUCCUCAUGCCAGGUAGAGACAUGAACUCACUGAUCAUACUCCUCUAGCAAGUCUUGGACAAGGGCACUGAGGCUGUUAACUGCGACUACUGGGGUCUCCUUGAUUUCUAUUGCGGUGUCGCUUGAACCCUGUUGAAGAGGCAACCACUCCCCGGUGAUGUUAUCCUUGAUGGCAUGGUCUUGCAGUUUCCUCACCUCCUUCUCAUUACCUGUUGAGAUUCUACGAUCCUUUAGCCAGCUGUUAAGAAAUAUAUUAGGUAUUGUAAUGUAUUUUUAUUGUAUCUAAUUACUUGAGCUAGAAAUGAGGUGUAAUUCCUGGGGUUGGGGUACUCAUCUUAUGAGGUGUAACUCUAAAGGGUCACUUU